rnacentral:rRNA from 1 species
CACGUAGGGCGCAAGCGUUGUCCGGAAUUAUUGGGCGUAAAGAGCUCGUAGGCGGUCUGUUGCGUCCGCUGUGAAAACUCGGGGCUUAACCCCGAGCCUGCAGUGGAUACGGGCAGACUAGAGGUAGGUAGGGGAGAAUGGAAUUCCCGGUGUAGCGGUGAAAUGCGCAGAUAUCGGGAGGAACACCAGUGGCGAAGGCGGUUGCCUGGAGCUUUGCUGACGCUGAGGCGCGAAAGCGUGGGGAGCGAUCCGG